rnacentral:tRNA from 1 species
GGCCCCAUAGCUCAUAUGGUAAGAGCGUUGGCUGUACCCAAGCCAUGCACUUGCUGUCGUGGGUUCGAAUCCCACUGACGCCG